GGAAGAAUUUUGACGGUACCAUUAGAGGAAGCCCCGGCUAACUCCGUGCCAGCAGCCGCGGUAAUACGGAGGGGGCAAGCGUUGUUCGGAAUUAUUGGGCGUAAAGCGUAUGUAGGCGGCUAAGUAAGUCAGAGCGUGCAAGCCCGUGGCUCAACCACGGAAUUGCGUUUGAAACUGUUCGGCUUGAGUACAGGAGAGGAAGGCGGAAUUCCCAGUGUAGCGGUGAAAUGCAUUGAUAUUGGGAAGAACAUCUGUGGCGAAGGCGGCUUUCUGGUCUGUUACUGACGCUGAUAUACGAAAG
rnacentral:rRNA from 1 species